rnacentral:rRNA from 1 species
GUGGGGAAUCUUCCGCAAUGGACGAAAGUCUGACGGAGCAACGCCGCGUGAGUGAUGAAGGUCUUCGGAUUGUAAAGCUCUGUUAAUCGGGACGAAAGAGCCUAGUGUGAAUAAUGCUAGGAAGUGACGGUACCGGAAUAGAAAGCCACGGCUAACUACGUGCCAGCAGCCGCGGUAAUACGUAGGUGGCAAGCGUUGUCCGGAAUUAUUGGGCGUAAAGCGCGCGCAGGCGGAUCUGCCAGUCUGUCUUAAAAGUUCGGGGCUUAACCCCGUGAUGGGAUGGAAACUACAGAUCUAGAGUAUCGGAGAGGAAAGUGGAAUUCCUAGUGUAGCGGUGAAAUGCGUAGAGAUUUGGAAGAACACCAGUGGCGAAGGCGACUUUCUGGACGAUGUCUGACGCUGAGGCGCGAAAGCUAGGGGAGCGAACGGGAUUAGAUACCCUGGUAGUCC